CUUGCUAACAUUCUCGUUCAGGUGAAUGUACUGAUUGUAUAUACAUGAGAUAUUCACAUGUACGCCAGAAAUCCACUAUCAUAAAUAAAACACUUAGUCUACAAAUAGACAUUAGAUAAAAAAGAAGCAAAGUGUAUCGCGGGCUUAUUAAUGUUUUGGCGAAAGAAGAACAGAACAAUUUACAUAUGUACAACAACUUUCGCAUCACAAACCUAAGGCACCUGAGGAGAUAUGGAUGACAACAGCAGCAUGUGACAGUAAUCCACUAAUCACUGCUAUCAUCCAGUACAGAAAUAAAUCUUGAAUCUGCACAAACAAUUGAUGUCAUGAAGUGCAAAAACUAAAGCUUGAAGCUUUGCAAAAUAUCAACUGAUUUAGAGAACUAAUUCGGUAGAUUUAAAACAAUUAUAUGGGACAAUAUUCAGGAGACA
rnacentral:rRNA from 1 species